GUAGCGGCGAGCGAAACGGGAAGAGCCCAAACCAACAAGCUUGCUUGUUGGGGUUGUAGGACUCCGAUAUGGUAGUCUGUUAGUAUAGUUGAAGGAUUUGGAAAAUUCCGCUAAAGAGGGUGAAAGCCCCGUAGACGAAAUGCUGACAACACCUAGGAGGAUCCUGAGUACGGCGGAACACGAGAAAUUCCGUCGGAAUCCGCGGGGACCAUCCCGCAAGGCUAAAUACUCCCUAGUGACCGAUAGUGAACCAGUACCGUGAGGGAAAGGUGAAAAGCACCCCGGAAGGGGAGCGAAAUAGAUCCUGAAACCGUGUGCCUACAACAAGUUAGAGCCCGUUAAUGGGUGAUAGCGUGCCUUUUGUCGAAUGAACCGGCGAGUUACGAUAGCAUGCAAGGUUAAGUUGAAGAGACGGAGCCGUAGCGAAAGCGAGUCUGAAUAGGGCGAAUGAGUAUGUUGUCGUAGACCCGAAACCAUGUGAUCUACCCAUGUCCAGGUUGAAGGUGCGGUAAAACGCACUGGAGGACCGAACCCACGUACGUUGAAAAGUGCGGGGAUGAGGUGUGGGUAGCGGAGAAAUUCCAAACGAACUUGGAGAUAGC
rnacentral:rRNA from 1 species